GAUGAACGCUAGCUACAGGCUUAACACAUGCAAGUCGAGGGACCGGCGCACGGGUGAGUAACACGUAUCCAACCUGCCCUUUACUCGGGGAUAGCCUUUCGAAAGAAAGAUUAAUACCCGAUAUAAAGGAUGGGGAUGCGUUACAUUAGGUUGUUGGUGAGGUAACGACUCACCAAGCCUUCGAUGGAUAGGGGUUCUGAGAGGAAGGUCACACGCAUUGGAACAGAGACACGGGCCAAACUCCUACGGGAGGAAGCAGUGAGGAAUAUUGGUCAAUGGGCGCUAGCAUGAACCAGCCAAGUAGAGUGAAGGAUGAAGGCUUAUGGGUCGUAAACUUCUUAUAUAUAAGAAUAUGUAUUAUAUGAAUAAGGAUCGGCUAACUCCGUGCCAGCAGCCGCGGUAAUUC
rnacentral:rRNA from 1 species